UUUGUUUACCUUGGUUUCGGAGAGCGCAUGUUUGGGCAAGUGAGCGAAUGACACAAGAAGCGCAUCAUUAAUCAAGAAAACAUUGAAUAUAAAUCUCGAUGCAAUGGUGCGUCAAAAAAAAUGUAGGGACCAACGAGGUGGCUAUGGUAAAACAAGGAUUGAUAUUAUUGAUGGAGAUGUUGAUAUAAAUAGAUCUUAUACAUUUGGACCUCAUCAUAGAUAUAAUCCAUACUCUCAAAGAAAUCAUUUAAAAGAAAGAAAAAAAUACUUGG